rnacentral:rRNA from 1 species
GGUUUUUAAUUAAUAAUUUAAAAAAUUAAAAAUAAAACUAAAAGGACGCGGUAACCUUGACCGUGAUAAUGUAGCAUAAUCACUCGCCAUUUAAUUGAUGGAUAGUAUGAAUGGUUGAACGAAUAUUCCACUGUCUUAGAAAGAAUUAAAAGAAAUUGAAAUAAUAGUUAAGAUGCUAUUUUAAACUGUAAGACGAAAAGACCCUAUAGAGCUUAACUAUAACCUCUUUUUAACCUAAAAAAAUUGUUUUUAAUAUUAUAGAGGUUGGUAGUUUAGUUGGGGCGACUGUCUUCUACAUUAAACGAAGACAAGCAAAAUUAAUAAAAAAUUUAUUGUAUAAUAAAAUCAUUUAACAAUUACUAUAGUAGGCUAUAUUGACCCGUUUUUACUACGUAAUAAGAAAAACGAUCAAUUGAUAAAAGCUACCUUAGGGAUAACAGGAUAAUUUCAUUUUAGAGUUCAUAUCGAAAAUGAAGUUUGUCACCUCUAUGUUGAAUUAA